UCCAGUGUUGCUGUGACUGUGGUGUAGGCCGGCAGCUGUAGCUCCGAUUCACCUCUAGCCUGGGAACCUCCACAUGCCACGGGUGUGGUCCUAAAAAGACUAACUAGUUAACUAACUAAAUAAAUGCUGACUUUAAUUUCUUCUCUCAAACCGUCCUCUCAUCCCUCUGAGACCUUAGCUGGUAAUAGUUUCUUCCUACAGCUUUGCCAUAGUUUGGGGAAGAAGCUUUGACUUGCCAGAGGAUCAUCUAAACAGCAGACUUCCAAGGGCACCCCAAGAAUCCUGCCUGCUCCAGAUGUGUUAUGGAAACAUCACCUGUGCAUUAUAAAAAGUUAGAAAGUAAAGGUAAGCCAAACACACUCUCCCCCUUUCUCUUACCUCUCUCCAGAGAUGACCACAGUUAUCCUUGUAGGUUUUUUCCUGUGUGUUUCUGUGUGUGUAUAUGUGUGUGUGUGCACGUGCGCAUAUGUGUAUAUAUAUACGUGUGUGUAUAUACAUGUAUAUAUGCAUAUGCUUUUUUUUACACCAAAAUGAUGUAGCACUGAUUUGUAAUCUGCUUUUUUCAGUGAACCAUUUCCAACCUUUAUUUCAGUAAAUUUCCUUUAAUUCCCUGCCCACAUUCAAUUUCUGUUAUUGGCCCCCAAGUAUACUUUUAAGCCAGUUUGUCCAAAUCAGUAUCUAGUCUAAGACCAUGCAACUGCCCCUGGUUGUAACUUUCUUUUUGUCUCCCAACCCAGCAGAGUCUCUCCCUAACGGAAGGGGCCAGCUGUCCUUAGAAGCCCUCGUCUUCUAGAGCUUCCUGAGGGCGCCGUGGCGCUGGAUUCUUCAACCCCUGCAUUUCCUGUUUCUAGGGAUGGGUUCAAGUUCAUUUUGGGCUGAGGUGAUUCUGGGCACUUCUUCCACCUUCCAGGGACCCAGCAUUAGCAAAGCCCGGGUUGACCCCUGGAUGAGGGUUAUGGCAGCCUUGGACCUUCUGCCAGGCAGUUUCAUUCCCCCCGCUUGACACCAAAAAGUGAUCUUUGAGGUGUAACUUUGAGCGACUCACCACUUACUGAAUGCUUUUAGCACCAAAUGAUAAUUAUUGCCUGAACUUACGUGUAUUCAUUGGGUUUUAAUAAAACAGUGUUUCUCUAAA